CGGCAUUCUUAUGUCUUUUUCCUAAAACGAUUCAUUUAAUAGGAAUGAUUUUCAUACCUAUUAAAUGAAUCGUUUUAGGAAACAAAACUCUGAAUGG